rnacentral:lncRNA from 1 species
AGCCUGUGGUGGUUGCCGAAGAACUUUAAUUACAGUGUCAGAGUGUUCAGGGACAGUCCCAACUCCCUUCAUGUGAGGAUUGCAGAAAUGGGCUUGGAUCGUAUACAGACAGCGUUAUGAGGCAUUGCUGAAGAACACACAAAUCUGCCUGGAGCUGUUUCCUGAACACAGGACCAAAAGGCAGGAAUCAAAAGUAGUAAUGAGUUUAGUUAUCUGUCUGUUACUGAAGGUGACUUCUAGGGCAUCCUCCUGGCAUUGCUUCUGGAAUACAGUGACUUAGACUUAUUCGGAAGAACAUCUCUAUGCUGUUCAUCACAUCGCCAGCACCUAGCCCUGUGCCUGUGCAUAGUAAAUGCUCAGAAAAGAAAAAACAACAAAGUUUCCAGCUCUUACUCUAGAUUGACACUGGACCUUGGAGAUGCUUGCAGCCACUAAAUGUAAUGCCACAUGAUUGUUGACCCAACAAUAAUCCAGUUAAAAAACAGUCUUCAGAGUUACUACAUCAUCAGAAUUAACCCUGAUUACAUCAAAUUAUGUUGAAACAGACCACAGCUGUUUGCCCUGUUGAAGCAACUGCUUGAGAGCUCCUCCGGAAGAUACAUCUGGGUGUCACUAAGAUACAUUUUGGGUUUAGUUUUGUUUCUCAACACAAAUGUAGGAGGGAAACAAACCCUGUUCUGCUGGGGUGCCUGGUGGGAGCUGAAAACCUUGUGAUUCUCCAGCAGUCAAAAGUCAUCUCAAUUACCAAAGAGAAGGGAACCUGAGAUCUUUUGUUUCAGUUUUCUAUAGGAAGGAUGUAAGAGGAAGGAAAUUCAAAUCUGUUGAGUAUUGCUCUUGCCAGCAAAAAGAAGUGGAACUGACUAGUGAGAUGGUGGUGAGAUUUUCUUUGGUGGCUGUGUGCAGUGGUAUCAACCCAGGAGAGUAGACUGUUCAAUUGUGAAGAAUUUUGCAAGAUGGUUGUUAAAGUAGAACAUCGUUAAAAUUAAGUUGUAAUAAAAAAAGGGAAAUAAGCAUUGGAAAAGAUGUGGACAGAUUGGAACCCUCAUACAUUGCUGAUGGGAAUGUAAAAUGGUGUAGCCACUGUGGAAAAAAGGUCAGCAGUUCCUUAAAAAGUUAAACAGUGUCACCAUAUGACUCAGCAUUUUCACUCCUAGAUAAAUACGUAGAUUGAAAACGUAUGUCCACACAAAAACUUGUACAGGAAUGAUCGCAACAGCAUUAUUCAUAAUAGCCAAAAAGUGGAAACAACUGUAAUGUUCAUCAGCUGAUGAAUGGAUAAAAUGCGGUAUAUAAAGAACUGUCAAGUGCUUCAACAUGGAUGAAACUUGAAAACAUUAUACAAAGCGAAAGAGGUUAGACACACAGGUCACAUAUUGUAUGAAUAUGGUUAUGUGAAAUGUCUAGAAUUGGCAAAUCCAUAGAGAUGAAAAGUAGGUUAGCGGUUGCCAGCUGAUGGGAUUGGGGGAAUGGAGAGUUGCUAAUGGAUAUGGUGUUUCUUUUGGGGUAAUGAAAAUGUUCUGGAAUUAGAUAGCUGUGGUGGUUGUCAAAGUUGAUGAAUAUAUUAGAAACCAUGAAUUAUAAACUUUAACAUGGUGACUUUUGUGAUACGUGAAUAUCUUAAUUAAAAAUUAAGUUAUAUAAAAAAAAAAAAAAA